rnacentral:rRNA from 1 species
UAGAGUUUGAUCAUGGCUCAGGAUGAACGCUGGCGGCGUGCUUAACACAUGCAAGUCGAACGGGGUUAUCAUUUUUGAAGCGAUUAGCUUGCUAAGAGUGGAAAAGUUGAUAACUUAGUGGCGGACGGGUGAGUAACGCGUGGGUAACCUGCCUUACACAGGGGGAUAACACUUAGAAAUAGGUGCUAAUACCGCAUAAGCGCACAGUCCCGCAUGGGACAGAGUGAAAAACAUUAGUGGUGUAAGAUGGACCCGCGUCUGAUUAGCUGGUUGGCGGGGUAACGGCCCACCAAGGCGACGAUCAGUAGCCGGCCUGAGAGGGUGGACGGCCACAUUGGGACUGAGACACGGCCCAAACUCCUACGGGAGGCAGCAGUGGGGGAUAUUGGACAAUGGGGGAAACCCUGAUCCAGCGACGCCGCGUGAGUGAAGAAGUAUUUCGGUAUGUAAAGCUCUAUCAGCAGGGAAGAAAGAAAUGACGGUACCUGAGUAAGAAGCCCCGGCUAACUACGUGCCAGCAGCCGCGGUAAUACGUAGGGGGCAAGCGUUAUCCGGAAUUACUGGGUGUAAAGGGAGCGUAGACGGUAAUGCAAGUCUGGAGUGAAAGGCGGGGGCCCAACCCCCGGACUGCUCUGGAAACUGUGUAAUUGGAGUGCAGGAGAGGCAGGCGGAAUUCCUAGUGUAGCGGUGAAAUGCGUAGAUAUUAGGAGGAACACCAGUGGCGAAGGCGGCCUGCUGGACUGUAACUGACGUUGAGGCUCGAAAGCGUGGGGAGCAAACAGGAUUAGAUACCCUGGUAGUCCACGCCGUAAACGAUGAUUACUAGGUGUGGGUGGGUAUGGACCCAUC